GACGAACGCUGGCGGCGUGCCUAAUACAUGCAAGUAGAACGCUGAAGAGAGGAGCUUGCUCUUCUUGGAUGAGUUGCGAACGGGUGAGUAACGCGUAGGUAACCUGCCUUGUAGCGGGGGAUAACUAUUGGAAACGAUAGCUAAUACCGCAUAACAAUGGAUGACACAUGUCAUUUAUUUGAAAGGGGCAAUUGCUCCACUACAAGAUGGACCUGCGUUGUAUUAGCUAGUAGGUGAGGUAACGGCUCACCUAGGCGACGAUACAUAGCCGACCUGAGAGGGUGAUCGGCCACACUGGGACUGAGACACGGCCCAGACUCCUACGGGAGGCAGCAGUAGGGAAUCUUCGGCAAUGGGGGCAACCCUGACCGAGCAACGCCGCGUGAGUGAAGAAGGUUUUCGGAUCGUAAAGCUCUGUUGUAAGUCAAGAACGAGUGUGAGAGUGGAAAGUUCACACUGUGACGGUAGCUUACCAGAAAGGGACGGCUAACUACGUGCCAGCAGCCGCGGUAAUACGUAGGUCCCGAGCGUUGUCCGGAUUUAUUGGGCGUAAAGCGAGCGCAGGCGGUUUGAUAAGUCUGAAGUUAAAGGCUGUGGCUCAACCAUGGUUCGCUUUGGAAACUGUCAAACUUGAGUGCAGAAGGGGAGAGUGGAAUUCCAUGUGUAGCGGUGAAAUGCGUAGAUAUAUGGAGGAACACCGGUGGCGAAAGCGGCUCUCUGGUCUGUAACUGACGCUGAGGCUCGAAAGCGUGGGGAGCGAACAGGAUUAGAUACCCUGGUAGUCCACGCCGUAAACGAUGAGUGCUAGGUGUUGGAUCCUUUCCGGGAUUCAGUGCCGCAGCUAACGCAUUAAGCACUCCG
rnacentral:rRNA from 1 species